rnacentral:rRNA from 1 species
CCUACGGGAGGCUGCAGUGGGGAAUAUUGGACAAUGGGGGCAACCCUGAUCCAGCCAUGCCGCGUGUGUGAAGAAGGCCCUCGGGCUGUAAAGCACUUUCAGUGAGGAAGAACGCCUGGUGGUUAAUACCCAUCAGGAAAGACAUCACUCACAGAAGAAGCACCGGCUAACUCCGUGCCAGCAGCCGCGGUAAUACGGAGGGUGCGAGCGUUAAUCGGAAUUACUGGGCGUAAAGCGCGCGUAGGUGGCUUGAUAAGCCGGUUGUGAAAGCCCCGGGCUCAACCUGGGAACGGCAUCCGGAACUGUCAAGCUAGAGUGCAGGAGAGGAAGGUAGAAUUCCCGGUGUAGCGGUGAAAUGCGUAGAGAUCGGGAGGAAUACCAGUGGCGAAGGCGGCCUUCUGGACUGACACUGACACUGAGGUGCGAAAGCGUGGGUAGCAAACAGGAUUAGAUACCCGAGUAGUC